AUGAAAUCAUAUUUUAUGGGUAGUAUGUUUAUUGGUGAAUCUUAUAGCUAAUUAUGUAUUAUUAGACUAAAGAAAUUUAAUAUAAAAGUUGUUGAUUCUGUGAAAAUAAUAAUUACAAGAUGCCGUUAAUUCAAGUAGAUGUAAAAAUGUUACCAAUGAAAGUGCACUACUUUCUGUUUAUGGGAGGUGUUGCACCAAUGACUUCUUUUUUACCAACAAUUGCAAAACAACUGGGAUACUCUACAGUUGUAGUUGGUACUAUCUUUAGUAUUUUACCAAUUUUAAGUUUAAUAAUAAAGCCUAUAAUUGGUGCAAUUGUGGAUCAAUUUCGGGUUAAAAAAUUAAUUUUUUUAACAUUCAUAUUGUUAUCCGGCUUAACAGCAUUUUCACUUAUGUUUGUUCCUGAAAUACCUUUGAAUACUACAGUGGAACUUAAUUGUCAUGAUGCCACAUAUUUAAAUGUUUGUCUUGAUGAUGAUGUACCUUUGUCAAAAUGUAACAUAAAUCGAGUUAAGGAAAAUAUUGGUGGUACAUUUGGAUGUGAGUUAAAAUGUAAUAGCAGUGUACAUUUCCGUAAAGAAAUGUGUUCAAAUUGGGGAUUUAAGGAGUAUUGCUCAUUAUCAAAGUUGCCCAAUGUAAACACCAUAAAUUAUUAUGAACCAAACAGUUCACAAAUAGUUAAAACAAAAUCAAUUAAGAAUUAUUAUAAUGAUGAUUAUGCUUACUUAUUUGUGUUGCUAGAUAUAAUACAUACUGUUGAUGUUAAUAAUUGUUUCUAUUUUAAAAUAAAAUCUGCAAAGUUCUAUUUUAAUGAAUCUCAAGGAGUUAACCACACACCUGUUUGUGAUACUAGUUUAAGAUCACAAUGCAAAGUACAAUGUUCUAAUGAAGUCAUUAUGGAUUUAAUAACUCCCCAAAAGUUUAAAGGCAGUGUCUUGGAGUUAAAUCAAUUUUGGAUAUUUUUCCUGUUGGUUAGUCUGUUUUGGGUAGGUCAAGCAAUUAUUUAUAGUCUUGGCGAUUCUAUUUGCUUUGAUCAACUAGGUAACAAGCCUAAUCUUUAUGGCAAACAAAGAUGCUGGGGAGCUAUUGGAUGGGGAAUUUUUUCAAUACUUGCUGGAUGGCUCCUGGAUCUUUUUAGCUCCAGUGAUGUUUAUAAAAAUUAUUUACCAAUAUACUUUUUAUGUUUACUGGUACUACUUUGCAACUUUUUUGUUGCAUCAAAACUUAAGGUGACAGAAACAAAAAUAUCAACUAAUAUAUUUAAAGACUUAGGAAAACUGCUAAUGGAAGUCAAGGUACUAGGAUUUCUUACUUGGGCAAUAGUAGUAGGUAUUUGCACUGGAAUGAUUUGGCAAUAUCUUUUUUGGUACAUUGAAGAUGUAGCUUCCAUGAAUAAGUGUAAUACUCAACAUUGGAUUAAAACGCUACAAGGUUUAAUUUCAGGAGUUCAAUGUUUUGGUGGUGAAGUGCCAUUCUUUUUCUGGUCAGGCUGGAUUAUGAAACGUUUAGGACACUUAAAUUGCAUGUCUCUUAUUUUAGGAGUUUUUGCGUUUAGAUUUUUUGCUUAUUCAAUUCUUACAAAUCCAAUUUGGGUACUCGUUAUUGAGUUAACUAAUGGAAUUACUUUUGGGUUAGCAUAUGCAGUACUUAUGUCAUAUGCAAGUAUACUUGCACUACCUGGUAGCGAAAGUACUAUGAUAGGUCUUGUUGGUGGAGUUUUUGAAGGUAUAGGUGUGUCUUUGGGUAGUUUAAUAGGCGGCUGCUUGUAUGAUAAUUAUGGUGGAGCUCAAACAUUCAGAUUAUUUGCAUAUGGUUCUGCAUUAAUGUGUGUAAUUCAUUUAUUAUGUCAAAAAAUUCUGAAAUCAAAUAAAAAAUUAAGUUUUUCAACACAUUAUUAGAUCACAAUUUUGAAGAAGUACAAAACAACACAUCCCAUUUUAAAGAAACAGGUUUUGUUAGUGGAUCAACUGAAUAUGCCAGUCCAAAUGAAGCUAUUCAUAUGUUGAUUGACAAUUAAAUUAAUUUUUUCAAUGUUCCUACUUUAUUGUUCCAUCUUAUUUUUAUUUAAAAAAAUUAAAGAAGGAAAUACUUAAUUUGCAGUCACUUAUUUCUAGUAUAAUAUUAUAUUUUGUUUUUUGACAAUUAUUAAUGGAAUAGGUAAAUAUUCUGAUUAUUGAAUUUUUAAUAUACAAUAAAAAUGGCCAGUGGUAUGAAUUGAGCAAUUAGCAUAGGUUAGAUUAGGAAUUAUUUAAAAUACUUUUAAAAAAAAUGUAUGUAAUUUUAAACUUUUUUGUAAUAUUUUUAUAUUAUUUUC